GGGCGUACCAGGCUCAGCUGGACAUAACCCUAAAACUAAUCCAGAACCUGGACCUGAACCCAGCUGUGUUUCCUUAAAGAGCAACAAGUCAAAGGAUGUUGCUGUGAACUUUAACAAAAGACUGUUAUGUGACAAAGAGAUCAAUAAGAGGCCAGAAUCUCCUGGACCUGAACCCAGCUGUGUUUCCUUAAAGAGCAACAUGUCGAAGGAAAUUGUUGUAAAUGUAACCCUGGCAUCACCUGCAGCUCGGUGCGCGUGAGGGUGUGGUGUAGAGGAACAAAGACGGCAAGGAAAAACUCCAUGCUGCCGCGAAGCACAGUUUUCCAGUUAAAAGGAG